rnacentral:tRNA from 1 species
GGAAGGCAUUCGUAUCCGGUGGUACGGCUGGGCUUCAAACCCAGUAAAGGGCGUCAGCCGCUCUUUGGUAGGUUCGACUCCUGCUGCUUUCCGCCA